rnacentral:tRNA from 1 species
GAGGGCUUAGCUCAGCGGUAGCGCGCAUGCCUGGUGUGCACGAGGUCCUGGGUUCAAUCCCCAGUGCCUCCG